UAUAUAUCACUUAAGAUCCUACU
rnacentral:siRNA from 1 species